rnacentral:rRNA from 1 species
GACGAACGCUGGCGGCGUGCCUAAUACAUGCAAGUCGAGCGCAGGAAGCCGUCCGAACCCUUCGGGGGGACGACGGUGGAAUGAGCGGCGGACGGGUGAGUAACACGUAAAGAACCUGCCCAUAGGUCUGGGAUAACCACGAGAAAUCGGGGCUAAUACCGGAUGUGUCAGCGGACCGCAUGGUCCGCUGAUGAAAGGCGCUCCGGCGUCGCCCAUGGAUGGCUUUGCGGUGCAUUAGCUAGUUGGUGGGGUAACGGCCCACCAAGGCGACGAUGCAUAGCCGACCUGAGAGGGUGAUCGGCCACACUGGGACUGAGACACGGCCCAGACUCCUACGGGAGGCAGCAGUAGGGAAUCUUCCACAAUGGACGAAAGUCUGAUGGAGCAACGCCGCGUGAACGAUGAAGGCUUUCGGGUCGUAAAGUUCUGUUGUAAGGGAAGAACAAGUGCCGCAGGCAAUGGCGGCACCUUGACGGUACCUUGCGAGAAAGCCACGGCUAACUACGUGCCAGCCGCCGCCGUAA